GGGUAACGGUUCGUUUUGUUUGUUUUUUAAUUGGACAUCAAAACAUAAGGGAAUCACGCACGUGGAGGCGCAUGCUCUGUAGCCUCACGAUCGCACUACAACUCCCAGAAUGCACCGCGACUAGACGGUCGCUUCCGGUAUUGAGUCCCCGCCUCUCUCCCGGGUGGACCUUGACGGUGCUGCUUGGAUCCUCUGGCUGGUGUUUGGAUUCUGUUUGUUGCUGCAGACUUCCUCCGCCCGGGCCCCAGCUCAGUGGAGACAAGUUGCGCGUGGGCACCAUGAAUCGCUUGGGCUCGGUGCAGCGGAAGAUGCCGUGCGUGUUUGUGACGGAGGUGAAAGCUGAGCCUUCAGCUAAGCGAGAGCAUCAGGUACCCGGCGGCGUGUGCUGCUGCCCCGGAGCCCUGCAGGUUUUACCAGGGAGGUUUGGGUGAAGUUUCCAUUUUCCCUGACCUCCAGCUUCUUGUAUCUUCUUGGCUGCAAGGAGUGUGGGAGAGAGUUCUUUUUAAACUGUACCCUCCCUGAUCAGGUGACUCUAACGUGUUCUGGCAGAUUUGAAAAUCUACAUCGUAAUCUUCCCCUUGACAGCACCGGAGUAAUGAGAUGUCAUGCAGUCUAAUGUGGAACUACUGUCAAAUGUCUGAGGGGAAGGAAUUGUUUACCUGUUGUGCGCUAGGAACCCAGGGCAGUCUUGACAGCUAGCCUAACUAGGUCAUGCAAAUCAGACCUCGUGGAAUUUCUUGCUUAAUUUGAGUUCUCAUCU
rnacentral:lncRNA from 1 species